rnacentral:rRNA from 1 species
AGAUUGAACGCUGGCGGCAGGCCUAACACAUGCAAGUCGAGCGGUAGAGAGGUGCUUGCACCUCUUGAGAGCGGCGGACGGGUGAGUAAUGCCUAGGAAUCUGCCUAGUGGUGGGGGAUAACGUUCGGAAACGACGCUAAUACCGCAUACGUCCUACAGGAGAAAGCGGGGACCUUCGGGCCUCGCGACCAUUAGAUGAGCCUAGGCGAUUAGCUAGUUGUGAGGUAAUGGACUCACCAAGGCGACGAUCCGUAACUGGUUUGAGAGGAUGAUCGAGUCAACACUGGAACUGAGACACGGUCCAGACCUCUACGGGAGCAGCGAGGUGGGAAUAUCGGACAAGUGGGACAAAGCCUAGA